UAGAGGCAGAAGAAGAAGGAGAGGAGGAGAAAGGAGGAAGAGGCAAAUGUAUCCUACGAAAAUGCAGCCUUUGCAAAUACAGAGUGCCGCUUGACGAGUAGGAACAGGCCCACAGCAGUGUGGAAGCCGCACCACACCUGGCAAUGUGACAGCGUUUCACCUUCCACGGCGGGACUCCAGGCGCCUGUUUCUAUAGUAACUGAUGCAUUUCAAACCAGGGAUGGGAGAGAGGCUGAAGAGAGAAAAGAAAAGAAAGAAGGAGGAAAGAUGGAGAGAGAUCUUCCCGGUUGAGGACCUCGUUCUGCAUGUAUUCCCGGAGACCCUGGACAGCCAGAAAAACAAACCAAUGCAUCAUAGAACAAAUCAAUCCAGAAUGUUCACUCGAGGCACAAAUGACCAGGCUCAAGCUACCCUACUUCGGACACAUUAUGUGAAGACCCAGCUCCCUUGAGAAGUCCAUCAUGCUGGGGAAAGUGGAAGGAAAGAGAAGAAGAGGACGACCGGCAGCAAGGUGGAUGGACUCGAUGACGACAGCCAUGAAUGCACCACUGAGAGACCUGAAAGGCCAAGUGGAAAGACAGAUCAUCCUGGAGAGCAUCUCUCUAUGUGGUCGCUAAGAGUCAACACCGACUUGACGACACUUAAUCAAUCCAAUGAUAUCCUUGACCCUCUUCAUGAUAUCAGCCCUCACCACGUACCUUUUGCAGAUGGGGAACUGAGGCGGAGUGAAGGUGGGCGUGCCCGCCAACAACUUGGCAAGGAGUCUGUGGAGCAGGGGAUCCUUGACCUCAACUCCACUUCUCUGGCUACUGCUCCUUCCUCCCUGAUGAGUUAUUUGCUGCCUUUGAUGUCUGGGUUGCAUAGGCACCCAUAAAUCGAGGCAUCUAUUUUUAUUCCGUCUGCUCUCGUUUAAAAUUUGGUUCUGAGACAGAAUGAUGCAAUGAUGGUAUACGCAAUCAGCUCUCUUCUCACGGAGAGUUUGGCAUUUGGUUGUUUCUGGGCAAAAUGGCUGGGGAUGAUGGGAGCUGUAGUCAACAACAUCGGUGGGGAGGGCCCUAUGAGAGCCCCAUUCCUAGGAGCAUUGCAGUGCUUGGAUGAUAAGGGGAGAGAUAGGGAGGGUCUUAAUGAAAUCCACAAAUGCCGCCACCCCCGACUCCCCGCAAUUUCAGCCAAAUCAGCCCCCUCCCUAAAAACACUUGUUAAGGUGGGCAGGACAAAAUGUACAGGGGCCAGGCCCCCUCUGGCUCCCUGUAAUUUUAUUAUUUGUUCAUUUAUUUAAUACUUUUGUAUAACAGCCACUUACCCAAGAGUCUAAGCGGUUUACAGCAUAAAACAAGCAUAAUUACAGCAUAAUUCAAACCCUGAAGCAUUUGAGGAAAGAGGUUCUGGGAGGUAGGCCCAAAAUGGUUACAUAAAAACAUGAGAACAGCCCUGCUGGAUCAGGCCCAAGGAGGCCCAUCUAGUCCAGCAUCCUGUUCCAAACAGUGGCCCACCAGGUGCCCCUGGGAAGCCCACAGGCAAGAGAUGAAGGCAGGCCCUCUCUCCUGCUGUUACUCCCCUGCAACUGGGAUGCAGGGGACUCCUGCCUCUGAACACUGAGGUGGCCUUUAGCCAUCAAGAUUAAUAGCCAGCUAGACUGGUCCUCCGUGAAUUUUUCUAAACCCCUUUUAAAGCCAUCCAAGCUGGUGGCCAUCCAAGCUAGUGGCAGAGAAUUCCACAGAUUGGUUAGGCAAUGUGUGGGGAAAGUACUUACAUUUGCCAGUCCUAAAUUUCUUGGCAAUCUAUUUCAUAGGAUGAACCCUGGGGGAUAGCCAACAGGAGCUGGGUGUCGUCUGUCGUCUGAAGUUCCAUUGUUGUUAACUGUAUAGCCAAGAUGGGUAGAAGGCAGGCUGGGCCUCCCACAGUGGGCCACUGGCCAAUUUCUGGUGGACCACCUAGUACUUGCUGAUUAUUGGAAUUAUUUCAGAGAAUGCUGUACUCAAAGGAUCAUCUGACUGCACAAGACACAUCUUGUAUUCUAAUGCAAUAGUGCACACUUGGGCUUAUUCAACACAGAUGAGUAUUGCCUUAACAAUAAACUGAUCCCAAGAUUACACUCUUGUGCUUUAUACACUUAAAACACACCAGUGGCCCAUGGGAAUGCUUUUAUACACAUCCACGUGUGCAUGUGUGCGCAGGCAGGCAGGCAGGCAGGCACACACACACACACUAUGCAAGUGUGAGGUUAAUCCAUCCCACAAAUAUUGCUUAACCGAAAGAUAUUUUUGCUUCAUUAUGCAAAGGAUAUUAUUCAUAAUAAUAAUAAUAAUAAUAAUAUUUCUAUUUAGUCCAUAUUUGAUAGUCACCGCAAGAUUAGUCUAUGCCCAGAUAAUGGAAAGUG